rnacentral:tRNA from 1 species
GUGUCUGUAGCCUACUGGUAAAAGGCAGCAUCUAUAAUGCUGAGGUUGUGGGUUCAAAUCCCACCAGACACA